rnacentral:rRNA from 1 species
UCAAGUUAUUAAGGGUGUAGGGCGGAUGCCUUGGCACUAGGAGCCGAUGAAAGACGUGAUAAGCUGCGAUAAGCUUCGGGGAGUGGCACAUACACUUUGAUCCGGAGAUUUCUGAAUGAGGAAACUCACUUGGAGUAAUGUCCAAGUAUCCAUAGGUGAAUACAUAGCCUAUGGAGGGGAACUCAGGGAACUGAAACAUCUAAGUACCUGAAGGAAGAGAAAGAAAUUCGAUUCCGCUAGUAGCGGCGAGCGAACGCGGAAGAGCCCAAACCAAGUCAGUUUACUGAUUUGGGGUUGCGGACAUAUCUUAAGGAAAGGUUAUUGCGAGUAGAAUAGGUCUGGAAAGAUCAACCACAGAGGGUAAAAGUCCCGUAUACAAAGCCAAGAAAGUUCUUGAUAUGAUCCAGAGUACCACGAGACACGUGAAACCUUGUGGGAAGCAGGGGGGACCACCCCCCAAGGCUAAAUACUACCUAGUGACCGAUAGCGAAUAGUACCGUGAGGGAAAGGUGAAAAGAACCCCGGGAGGGGAGUGAAAUAGAACCUGAAACCCUACACUUACAAGCUGUGGGAGCGCAUUAUUCGCGUGACCGCGUACUUUUUGUAGAACGGGCCAACGAGUUACGUUAUGUGGCAAGGUUAAGCACUUAAGGUGUGGAGCCGAAGCGAAAGCGAGUCUUAACUGGGCGCCAUAGUCACAUGACGUAGACCCGAAACCGGGCGACCUACCCAUGAGCAGGAUGAAGCGAAAGUAAAAUUUCGUGGAGGUCCGAACCCACGUACGUUGAAAAGUGCGGGGAUGACUUGUGGGUAGCGGUGAAAUUCCAAUCGAGCUCGGAGAUAGCUGGUUCUCCCCGAAAUAGCUUUAGGGCUAGCCUUGAAAUUUAGAGAUGUGGAGGUAGAGCACUGAAUGUCCUAGGGGGUAUUGCACUUACCGAAGACUAUCAAACUCCGAAUGCCAUUAUCUUUUGUUCAGGAGUCAGACUAUGGGUGAUAAGGUUCAUAGUCGAAAGGGAAAGAGCCCAGACCGUCAGCUAAGGUCCCUAAAUGUAUGUUAAGUGGUAAAGGAUGUGAGAUUGCACAGACAACCAGGAUGUUGGCUUAGAAGCAGCCACUCAUUUAAAGAGUGCGUAAUAGCUCACUGGUCGAGUGAUCCUGCGCCGAAGAUUUCCGGGGCUAAAACAUACUACCGAAGCUACGGCAUCAUAUGAUGAUGGGUAGGGGAGCUUCCCAUGCAGGCUGAAGCGAUACCGUAAGGAGUCGUGGACAGUAUGGGAGAGAGAAUGUUGGCAUGAGUAGCGAGAUGAGGGUGAGAAUCCCUCAGGCCGUAAACCCAAGGUUUCCAGGGGAAGGUUCGUCCUCCCUGGGUUAGUCGGGACCUAAGCUCAGGCCGAAAGGCGUAGGCGAUGGACAACAGGUUGAGAUUCCUGUACUACCGAUAAUCGUUUGAGAGAAGGGAUGACACAGUAGGAUAAGCUGAGCACACUGUUGGUUAAGUGUGUCUAAGCGUUGAGGCAGACUAGAUAGGCAAAUCCGUUUAGUUAAUGCUGGGGCGCGAUGGGGAGCGAAACUAAGUAGCGAAGCAGCUGAUUUCACACUGUCGAGAAAAGUCUCUAUCGAGAUUAAAGGUACCCGUACCGCAAACCGACACAGGUGGGUGAGGAGAGUAUCCUAAGGCCAGCGAGAGAACUGUUGUUAAGGAACUCGGCAAAAUGACCCCGUAACUUAGGGAUAAGGGGUGCCCCAGCAAUGGGGCCGCAGAGAAUUGGCCCAAGCGACUGUUUACCAAAAACAUAGGUUUCUGCUAAGUCGCAAGACGAUGUAUAGGAGCUGACGCCUGCCCGGUGCUGGAAGGUUAAGGGGAUCUGUUAGAGCAAUCGAAGCAGUGAUCUUAAGCCCCAGUAAACGGCGGCCGUAACUAUAACGGUCCUAAGGUAGCGAAAUUCCUUGUCGGGUAAGUUCCGACCCGCACGAAAGGCGUAACGAUUUGGGCACUGUCUCAACAACAGACUCGGUGAAAUUGUAAUCCCGGUGAAGAUGCCGGGUACCUGCGACAGGACGGAAAGACCCCAUGGAGCUUUACUGUAGCUUGACAUUGGGUUUCGAUACUACAUGUACAGGAUAGGUGGGAGACUAUGAAAUCAGGGCGUCAGUUUUGAUGGAGUCAUCCUUGGGAUACCACCCUUGUAGUAUUGGGACUCUAACCAUAGGCCAUGAAUCUGGUCUUGGGACACUGUCUGGUGGGCAGUUUGACUGGGGCGGUCGCCUCCCAAAAGGUAACGGAGGCGCUCAAA